rnacentral:rRNA from 1 species
CCUACGGGAGGCUGCAGUGAGGAAUAUUGGUCAAUGGCCGAGAGGCUGAACCAGCCAAGUCGCGUGAGGGAAGAAUGUCCUAUGGAUUGUAAACCUCUUUUGUCAGGGAGCAAAGUCACCCACGUGUGGGUGUUGGAGAGUACCUGAAGAAAAAGCAUCGGCUAACUCCGUGCCAGCAGCCGCGGUAAUACGGAGGAUGCGAGCGUUAUCCGGAUUUAUUGGGUUUAAAGGGUGCGUAGGCGGAAUGCCAAGUCAGCGGUAAAAUCGCGGGGCUCAACCUCGCUCCGCCGUUGAAACUGGCGGUCUUGAGUGGGCGAGAAGUAUGCGGAAUGCGUGGUGUAGCGGUGAAAUGCAUAGAUAUCACGCAGAACUCCGAUUGCGAAGGCAGCAUACCGGCGCCCAACUGACGCUGAAGCACGAAAGCGUGGGUAUCGAACAGGAUUAGAUACCCGAGUAGUC